rnacentral:rRNA from 1 species
AUUGAACGCUGGCGGCAUGCCUUACACAUGCAAGUCGAACGGCAGCGCGGACUUCGGUCUGGCGGCGAGUGGCGAACGGGUGAGUAAUACAUCGGAACGUACCCUGUUGUGGGGGAUAACUAGUCGAAAGAUUAGCUAAUACCGCAUACGACCUGAGGGUGAAAGUGGGGGACCGCAAGGCCUCACGCAGCAGGAGCGGCCGAUGUCUGAUUAGCUAGUUGGUGGGGUAAAGGCCCACCAAGGCGACGAUCAGUAGCUAGUCUGAGAGGACGAUCAGCCACACUGGGACUGAGACACGGCCCAGACUCCUACGGGAGGCAGCAGUGGGGAAUUUUGGACAAUGGGGGCAACCCCGAUCCAGCAAUGCCGUGUGUGUGAAGAAGGCCUUCGGGUUGUAAAGCACUUUUGUCCGGAAAGAAAUCGCGCUGGUUAAUACCUGGCGUGGAUGACGGUACCGGAAGAAUAAGCACCGGCUAACUACGUG